rnacentral:ncRNA from 2 species
AGGGGAAUCCGGUGGGAGUCCGGAACUGUCCCGCAACGGUGAAGGCGGCGCGCCAGUGGCCCGAUGCCGGCCCGGCCGCGCGCCCGUGAAGUCCGAGGACCU